rnacentral:rRNA from 1 species
UACGUAGGGUGCAAGCGUUAUCCGGAAUUACUGGGCGUAAAGGGCGCGUAGGCGGUUCGUUAAGUCCUGUGUGAAAUCCCCCGGCUCAACUGGGGAACUGCACAGGAAACUAGCGGGCUUGAGUUCGGGAGAGGGAAGCGGAAUUCCGGGUGUAGCGGUGAAAUGCGUAGAUAUCCGGAGGAACACCGGUGGCGAAGGCGGCUUCCUGGACCGACACUGACGCUGAGGCGCGAAAGCUAGGGGAGCAAACGGG